ACGUGAUCUGAGUUCAGACCGGAGUAAUCCAGGUCAGUUUCUAUCUAUAAGGGGCUUUUUCCAGUACGAAAGGAUCGGAAAAGCAUGGCCAACACCCACUCAAGCCGUCACUAAUAACCUAUGAUACUUAAUAGGCACCUAGUCCCCCACCUAAGCUCCAGAAAAGAGCA
rnacentral:rRNA from 1 species